rnacentral:lncRNA from 1 species
CGUUUAUCGUGAGUAAUUUAGUAAAAUGUUAGCGAAUUCCCCGUAAGUUUGCGGGGGGUAUGCUAGUUCUGAACGUCACAUGCUAAUGUAAAAAGCUGUUUUUUGAUAUAAAUAUGAACUUGAUUGAACAAAACAUGCAUGUAUUGUAUAACAUAAUGUCCUAGGAGUGUCAUCUGAUGAAGAUCAUCAAAGGUUAGUGCUGCAUUUAGCAGUGGUUUUGGUUUUUGUGACAUUAUAUGCUAGGUUGAAAAAUGGGUGUCUGAUUAUUUCUGGCUGGGUACUCUCCUGACAAUCUAAUGUUUUGCUUUCGCUGUAAAGCCUUUUGGAAAUCGGACAGUGUGGUUAGAUUAACGAGAGUCUUAUCUUUCAAAUUAUGUGAAAUUGUCCUAUGUUUGAGACCUUAGAAUUAUGACAUUUUGUGGUUUUAAAUUUGGCGCUCUGAUGUGUCACUGGCUGUUGAAUAGUGCGGGACGAUUUCGUCCCACCUACCCUAGAGAGGUUUAUGUGGCUCCCUGCAAAAUCACUGGAUGUUUUAGAGACAAAACAUUACUGAACAUAACGCGCAAAUCUAAACUGAGGAUUUUUGGAUAUAAAUAUGAACUUUAUCGAACAAAAUAUACAUGUAUUGUGUAACAUGAAGUCCUAUGAGUGCCAUCUGAUGAAGAUCAUCAAAGGCAGGUUCCAGGUCCUGACCCCUCUCAGGGCUGUAGAUCAUCCCCAUCAGUUCAUUAAGGAGACCUGAGCGUCAUUCAGUGACAGGAGAGGUCAGUAUGGAGGUCUGAGGCACAAGGGGAAAGGGGAAUGUGAUGUUUCUGUGGACCUGCUAGUACUCCAGUAUUCCUCCAAGGCCAGGGCUGGUCUGGGUUUGAGUGAGGAGGAACAGCUUAUAAAGGUUCCCAUUUCAUCCUCCUGUUUCUCUGUCAUUUUAAGAGAACAUACAAAGCAUCAUUGUUCCAUCAGUGGUUGUGAUAAUAAUAUUACUACGACAUAUAAUAGUCACAAAAAACAAAAAUCAUCCUCAAACCAAACAGAUGAAAAACAAGUAAGGCUAAUGAAGAGGAAAGGGGGGCCAAAGGGGGCCAAAGAGAAUGUGGGUGUGUGUAAGAGAGGACAACCAAACUGAAGAGAUCCGG